CGCAGCAGGAUGGGAAUUGAGUGAAAGUUGUGUUUUUGUUGCAAACACCAACACAGUCAAGUGCAAGGCGCCAAAAACUUUCACCCCUCCCCCGCGUCCAGAGCAGCGGGUUAUUCCUUGUAGCAGCUCAGCGGGCCGUUUGCGGGAUAGGCCACCACGCACGGCCCUCCAAACGGAUUAAAAAUCUCAAUCAGGGAGCAGCGAAGGACAAUCACAACCUCACUUGGCACUUAUGCCGAACACCACCUAACCAACUCCACCAAUCC